UGACUUGCCCGCAAAAGCUAGAUCUGUUUACUGGUAUGGCGACCCCUGGAUGGGAAUCUACCUGUGGUCCACCAUCAGCAGACCACAGAUGGCAUUGUUUGCAAUGAAGAGAAAUGUAGAUAAGAGGAAAGAUGCAGUGACUUACUUGGAUUUUCUAUAUAAAUCAUCACAGCACCUGAAAGCACAGGGCUGUAUCUGGGGAGGCCCAAGAAAGCCAGAGAAAAGAGGCCAGGCUCUCCAGGACUGGUGAGAUGCUCCACCAUCAGAGGCUCUGCCCAUUGGGCUCCUGGCUAGACCAAGAGGACAACACAUGAGACAGAUAAAGUUCUGAUUCU